GACGAACGCUGGCGGCGCGCCUAACACAUGCAAGUCGAACGGAGUCAAGAGGAGCUUGCUUUUCUUGACUUAGUGGCGAACGGGUGAGUAACGCGUGAGUAACCUGCCCUGGAGUGGGGGACAACAGUUGGAAACGACUGCUAAUACCGCAUAAGCCCACGGAUCUGCAUGGAUCUGCGGGAAAAGGAUUUAUUCGCUCUAGGAUGGACUCGCGUCCAAUUAGCUAGUUGGUGAGGUAACGGCCCACCAAGGCGACGAUUGGUAGCCGGACUGAGAGGUUGAACGGCACCAUUGGGAGUGGAACCCGGCCCAGACCCCCACGGGAGGCAGCAGUGGGGGAUAUGGCAAAAGGGGGGAACCCCGAAGGCAGCGGCGCCGGGGGGAGGAAAAAGGUUUUCGGAUUGUAAACCCCCGUCGUUAGGGACGAAAAUGGCGGUACCAACCAAAAAAGCCCCGGUUAACUCCGU
rnacentral:rRNA from 1 species